rnacentral:rRNA from 1 species
CGGGACGUCACGGAGGGCGCGCGUCCCGUAUGGGACGGGCGUCCGCGCCCGUGUGAAGCUCCUUCGACGAGUCGAGUUGUUUGGGAAUGCAGCUCUAAAUGGGUGGUAAAUUUCAUCUAAAGCUAAAUAUUGGCCGGAGACCGAUAGCGCACAAGUAGAGUGAUCGAAAGAUGAAAAGCACUUUGAAAAGAGAGUUAAAAAGCACGUGAAAUUGUUGAAAGGGAAGCGCUUGCGACCAGACUCGCUCGCGGGGUUCAGCCGGCAUUCGUGCCGGUGUAUUUCCCCGCGGGCGGGCCAGCGUCGGUUUGGGCGGUCGGUCAAAGGCCCUCGGAAGGUAACGCCCCUAGGGGCGUCUUAUAGCCGAGGGUGCAAUGCGACCUGCCUAGACCGAGGAACGCGCUUCGGCUCGGACGCUGGCAUAAUGGUCGUAAGCGACCCGUCUUGAAACACGGACCAAGGAGUCUAACAUCUACGCGAGUGUUCGGGUGUCAAACCCGUGCGCGAAGUGAAAGCGAACGGAGGUGGGAACCCUUACGGGUGCACCAUCGACCGAUCCUGAAGUCUUCGGAUGGGAUUUGAGUAAGAGCGUAGCUGUUGGGACCCGAAAGAUGGUGAACUAUGCCUGAAUAGGGCGAAGCCAGAGGAAACUCUGGUGGAGGCUCGUAGCGGUUCUGACGUGCAAAUCGAUCGUCGAAUUUGGGUAUAGGGGCGAAGACUAAUCGACAUCUGGUAGCUGGUCUGC